AAACAUGAAAAGAAAGGAUGAAUUAUUACCGACCGGAGCGGCUGAAACGAUGGAGAAACUAUUUGGAAAAUGAUCGUCGUUGGCAGACUCAAUUUCACGAGUGGAGUGACGGUUGUGACGGUGGUCAGAUGAAAAUGGAGGCGCAACUGCGAUUGUUCGCGUGAGUGAUGGCCGGAUUUGUAUCAGCGAUGUUUCAUGGUGGAUUUCCCAGAUUUUGUCUCCUUGAGUUUGUUAUAUUUUCUCUACUUGGAUUUGAUGCUUGUUGGUUUUAUUAAUAUUGAUUUUGAG
rnacentral:lncRNA from 1 species